rnacentral:rRNA from 1 species
UGGGGAAUAUUGGACAAUGGGCGAAAGCCUGACCCAGCAACGCCGCGUGAAGGAUGAAGUAUUUCGGUAUGUAAACUUCGAAAGAAUAGGAAGAAUAAAUGACGGUACUAUUUAUAAGGUCCGGCUAACUACGUGCCAGCAGCCGCGGUAAUACGUAGGGACCAAGCGUUGUUCGGAUUUACUGGGCGUAAAGGGCGCGUAGGCGGCGCGGUAAGUCACUUGUGAAAUCUCUGAGCUUAACUCAGAACGGCCAAGUGAUACUGCAGUGCUAGAGUGCAGAAGGGGCAAUCGGAAUUCUUGGUGUAGCGGUGAAAUGCGUAGAUAUCAAGAGGAACACCUGAGGUGAAGACGGGUUGCUGGGCUGACACUGACGCUGAGGCGCGAAAGCCAGGGGAGCAAACGGGAUUAGAUACCCCGGUAGUCCCUGAGCGGGCUGGCAAGGCGCAU